CCUACGGGAGGCAGCAGUGAGGAAUAUUGGUCAAUGGACGAGAGCCUGAACCAGCCAAGUAGCGUGAAGGAUGACUGCCCUAUGGGUUGUAAACUUCUUUUAUAUGGGAAUAAAAUGUUCCACGUGUGGGAUUUUGUAUGUACCAUAUGAAUAAGGAUCGGCUAACUCCGUGCCAGCAGCCGCGGUAAUACGGAGGAUCCGAGCGUUAUCCGGAUUUAUUGGGUUUAAAGGGAGCGUAGGUGGGUUGUUAAGUCAGUUGUGAAAGUUUGCGGCUCAACCGUAAAAUUGCAGUUGAAACUGGCAGUCUUGAGUACAGUAGAGGUGGGCGGAAUUCGUGGUGUAGCGGUGAAAUGCUUAGAUAUCACGAAGAACUCCGAUUGCGAAGGCAGCUCACUGGACUGCAACUGACACUGAGGCUCGAAAGUGUGGGUAUCAAACAGGAUUAGAUACCCCAGUAGUC
rnacentral:rRNA from 1 species